UACGUAGGAUGCAAGCGUUGUCCGGAAUUAUUGGGCGUAAAGAGCGCGCAGGCGGCCUGUCAAGUCAGAUGUGAAAGCCCUGGGCUCAACCUAGGAAGUGCAUUCGAAACUGCCAAGCUAGAGUUCUGGAGAGGAAGGCGGAAUUCUCGGUGUAGAGGUGAAAUUCGUAGAUAUCGGGAGGAACACCGGUGGCGAAGGCGGCCUUCUGGGACAGCAACUGACGCUGAGACGCGAAAGCGUGGGGAGCAAACAGGAUUAGAACCGUACCGU
rnacentral:rRNA from 1 species